GGGUCCGGGCCCGUUCUCUGCAGGUACCGUCACUUUCGCUUCUUCCCUGCUGAAGAGGUUUACAACCCGAAGGCCGUCAUCCCUCACGCGGCGUCGCUGCAUCAGGCUUUCGCCCAUUGUGCAAUAUUCCCCACUGCUGCCUCCCGUAGGAGUCUGGGCCGUGUCUCAGUCCCAGUGUGGCCGGUCGCCCUCUCAGGCCGGCUACCCGUCGUCGCCUUGGUAGGCCAUUACCCCACCAACAAGCUGAUAGGCCGCGGGCUCAUCCUUCACCGCCGGAGCUUUUAACCCCGUCCCAUGCGGGACAGAGUGUUAUCCGGUAUUAGACCCCGUUUCCAGGGCUUGUCCCAGAGUGAAGGGCAGAUUGCCCACGUGUUACUCACCCGUUCGCCACUAAUCCACCCCGAAAGGCUUCAUCGUUCGACUUGCAUGUGUUAAGCACGCCGCCAGCGUUCGUCCUGAGCCAGGAUCAAACUCUACGGUUACCUUGUUACGACUUACGGAUACCUUGUUACAACUUACGGUUACCUUGUUACAAUUUACGGAUACCUUGUUACAAUUUAGGGGUACCUGUUUAAAACUUAUGGGGACCUGGUAAAAACUUAUAGGGCCCUUGUGGAAACUAUGGGGGCCGGGUGGGACUU
rnacentral:rRNA from 1 species